AGAGUUUGAUCCUGGCUCAGAACGAACGCUGGCGGCAGGCUUAACACAUGCAAGUCGAACGCACCCUUCGGGGUGAGUGGCGCACGGGUGAGUAACGCGUGGGAACCUACCCUGGGGUCGGGAAUAACCGCUGGAAACGGCGGCUAAUACCCGAUGCGCCCUUUGGGGGAAAGAUUUAUCGCCCUGGGAUGGGCCCGCGUCCGAUUAGCUUGUUGGUGGGGUAACGGCCCACCAAGGCGUCGAUCGGUAGCUGGUCUGAGAGGAUGAUCAGCCACACUGGGACUGAGACACGGCCCAGACUCCUACGGGAGGCAGCAGUGGGGAAUCUUGGACAAUGGACGCAAGUCUGAUCCAGCCAUGCCGCGUGGGUGAAGAAGGCCUUAGGGUUGUAAAGCCCUUUCAGUCGUGACGAUGAUGACGGUAGCGACAGAAGAAGCCCCGGCCAACUCCGUGCCAGCAGCCGCGGUAAUACGGAGGGGGCAAGCGUUGUUCGGAAUUACUGGGCGUAAAGGGCGCGUAGGCGGACGGCCAAGUCAGAGGUGAAAGGCCCGGGCUCAACCUGGGACGUGCCUUUGAAACUGGUUGUCUUGAGUGC
rnacentral:rRNA from 1 species